rnacentral:lncRNA from 1 species
AUAUCCCGCCAACAACUGCAGCUCCCACCAGCCUGCCAGGCCAGGCUCCUGGACACUCCCUUCCCGCCUUCCUCCUCCCACCUCCCUCCUCCCUCCACAGUCCUCCAGCUUCGGAUCCACAGACGGAAUCAGGAGCAGAGCCUCUCAGGGUCCUUCACCGUCUCUCCAGUCUCGGAUCCGGACCCGUGGAUCUCAGCCUCAGACCCUCCUCUGGCCCCGGCCUUGCCCUCGGGCACGGCCCCUUUCCUCUUCAGCCCUGGGGUCCUGCUCCCCGAGCCAGAAUAUUGUCCUCCUUGGAGGUCCCCAAAGAAGGAGUCUCCCAAGAUCUCCCAACGUUGGAGGGAGUCCAAGCCCAGGGGGAACUUGACAUACCACCAGUACAUGCCCCCAGAGCCGAGACAGGGAUCCAGGGCGG